CAAAUUAAUGUUUCUGGGAAACUCUAUUAUUUACAUUAAUAGUAAACCUGUUCAAAUCAGGAUAAUUUGA
rnacentral:tRNA from 1 species